AACGUAGGUGGCAAGCGUUAUCCGGAUUUACUGGGCGUAAAGGGUGUGCAGGCGGGCGGUCAAGUGGGGUAUGAAAUAUCCUGGCUCAACCAGGAGAGGUUAUGCCAGACUGACCGUCUUGAGUGCGAGAGAGGGGCGUGGAAUUCCGGGUGUAGUGGUGAAAUGCGUAGAGAUCCGGAGGAACCCCAGAGGCGAAGGCGGCGCCCUGGCUCGCAACUGACGCUCAUACACGACAGCAUGGGGAGCGAACGGG
rnacentral:rRNA from 1 species